rnacentral:rRNA from 1 species
UACGUAGGGGGCAAGCGUUGUCCGGAUUUAUUGGGCGUAAAGAGCGUGUUGGCGGCCUUACAGGUCAGCUGUGAAAACUCGAGGCUCAACCUCGAGACGUCGGUUGAAACCGUAUGGCUAGAGUCCGGAAGAGGAGAGUGGAAUUCCCGGUGUAGCGGUGAAAUGCGCAGAUAUCGGGAAGAACACCCGUGGCGAAGGCGGCUCUCUGGGACGUGACUGACGCUGAGACGCGAAAGCGUGGGGAGCAAACAGG